AGAAACAACUCUCUCUCUCAGCACCGGAUAUCUUGGUCUGCAACGAUGCAAGAACGCAGCGAUGGAUAAGUAAUGGAUUGCAGAAUUCCGGAAUCAUCGA
rnacentral:rRNA from 1 species